AUAUGUGACCAUACCACCUUGAAUGUGCCUGACUUCCUCUGAUCUCAGAAACUGGGCAGGAAUGGGAGGUUAAAGGAACUUCCAUAGGUCACCCUGCCUUACUUAGAACUAUUGCAUCAU
rnacentral:rRNA from 1 species